rnacentral:rRNA from 1 species
GAUGAACGCUAGCGGCAGGCUUAAUACAUGCAAGUCGAGGGGGCAGCAAUGUCACCGGCGAACGGGUGCGUAACGCGUAUGCAACCUACCUACAUCAGGGGGAUAGCCCUAGGAAACUGGGAUUAACACCGCAUAACAUAUGACAAGGCAUCUUGUUAUAUUGAAAUAUUUAUAGGAUGUAGAUGGGCAUGCGUAGGAUUAGCUAGUUGGUAAGGUAACGGCUUACCAAGGCUACGAUCCUUAGGGGCUCUGAGAGGAGUAUCCCCCACACUGGAACGGAGAUACGGGCCAGAAUCCUACGGGAGGCAGCAGUAGGGAAUAUUGGGCAAUGGAGGCAACUCUGACCCAGCCAUGCCGCGUGCAGGAAGACGGUCCUCUGGAUUGUAAACUGCUUUUGAAUGGGAAGAAUGUGUGGCUUGCGAGCUAUAAUGACGGUACCAUUAGAAUAAGCCACGGCUAACUACGUGCCAGCAGCCGCCGCGG